rnacentral:rRNA from 1 species
UGAGGAAUAUUGCGCAAUGGGCGAAAGCCUGACGCAGCGACGCCGCGUGAAGGAUGAAGGUCUUCGGAUCGUAAACUUCUGUUAAGUGGGAAGAAAGACUCAUUUUUAAUACAGAUGAGUAAUGACGGUACCAUUAGAGAAAGCACCGGCUAACUUCGUGCCAGCAGCCGCGGUAAUACGAGGGGUGCAAGCGUUAUUCGGAAUUAUUGGGCGUAAAGGGUGUGUAGGCGGCACAUUAAGUCAACUGUUCAAUUCCCCGGCCUAACUGGGGGUCAGCAGUAGAAACUGAUAUGCUAGAGGAUGGAAGAGAGAAGUGGAAUUCUCGGAGUAGCGGUAAAAUGCGUAGAUCUCGAGAGGAACACCAAUGGCGAAGGCAGCUUCUUGGUCCAUUCCUGACGCUGAAACACGAAAGCGUGGGGAGCAAACAGGAUUAGAUACCCGUGUAGUCC